GAUGAACGCCGGCGGCGUGCUUAACACAUGCAAGUCGAACGGAAAGGCCCAAGCUUGCUUGGGUACUCGAGUGGCGAACGGGUGAGUAACACGUGGGUGAUCUGCCCUGCACUUCGGGAUAAGCCUGGGAAACUGGGUCUAAUACCGGAUAGGACCACAUUUUGGAUGGUGUGGUGGAAAGUUUUUCGGUGUGGGAUGAGCUCGCGGCCUAUCAGCUUGUUGGUGGGGUAAUGGCCUACCAAGGCGUCGACGGGUAGCCGGCCUGAGAGGGUGUACGGCCACAUUGGGACUGAGAUACGGCCCAGACUCCUACGGGAGGCAGCAGUGGGGAAUAUUGCACAAUGGGCGCAAGCCUGAUGCAGCGACGCCGCGUGGGGGAUGACGGCCUUCGGGUUGUAAACUCCUUUCGCUAGGGACGAAGCGCAAGUGACGGUACCUGGAGAAGAAGCACCGGCUAACUACGUG
rnacentral:rRNA from 1 species